AGUAAUGUCUGGGAAACGGCCUGAUGGAGGGGGGUAACUACUGGAAACGGUAGCUAAUACCGCAUAACGUCGCAAGACCAAAGUGGGGGGACCUUCGGGCCUCAUGCCAUCAGAUGUGCCCAGAUGGGAUUAGCUAGUAGGUGGGGUAACGGCUCACCUAGGCGACGAUCCCUAGCUGGUCUGAGAGGAUGACCAGCCACACUGGAACUGAGACACGGUCCAG
rnacentral:rRNA from 1 species